rnacentral:tRNA from 1 species
AGGGGAGGUUCAACCACUAAGAACUGCUAACUCUUACAUCUGAGUCUAAAACCUCAGUCCCCUU